UACGUAGGGUGCGAGCGUUGUCCGGAAUUAUUGGGCGUAAAGAGCUUGUAGGCGGUUUGUCGCGUCUGCUGUGAAAAUCCGGGGCUCAACCCCGGACUUGCAGUGGGUACGGCAGACUAGAGUGUGGUAGGGGAGACUGGAAUUCCUGGUGUAGCGGUGAAAUGCGCAGAUAUCAGGAGGAACACCGAUGGCGAAGGCAGGUCUCUGGGCCGAUACUGACACUGAGGAGCGAAAGCGUGGGGAGCGAACAGG
rnacentral:rRNA from 1 species